GACGAACGCUGGCGGCGUCCUUAACACAUGCAAGUCGAACGAAGAGCGACGGUAGCUUGCUUCUAUCAUUCUUAGUGCCGACAGGGUGAGUCACGCGUAAUCAACCUGCCCUUCAGAGGGGGACCACAGUUGGAAACGACUGCUAAUACAGCAUACGACCAAACCUCGACAUCGAGGAUAGAUGAAAGGUGGCCCCUACCUGUAAGCUAUCACUGAAGGCGGGGACUGCGUCUGAUUAGCUAGUUGGAGGGGUAACGGCCCACCAAGGCGAUGAUCAGUAGCCGGUCUGAGAGGAUGAACGGCCACUUUGGGACUGGGACACGGCCCAGACUACUACGGGAGGCAGCAGUAGGGAAUUUUCCGUGAUUGACGAUGAUCGGACGAAGCAACGCCGCGUGAGUGAUGACGACCGUCGGGUUAUAAAGCACUGUUAAUCGGGACGAAAGGCCUUCUUGCGAAUAGGGAGAAGGAUUGACGGUACCGGGAUAGAGAGCCACGGCUAACUACGUG
rnacentral:rRNA from 1 species